rnacentral:lncRNA from 1 species
GGUCAAAGGUGGGUUCUGGAAUCUCACACCACACCCUUAUUUUUCAAAAUGUUUAUCUAUGAUGAACAUUUUUAUAACUAAUUUCGUCCGACUUUGAUUUGAAGGAAAGUUUUAAGAAAUUUCCAUAGUGAGGAUGCACAAUUCUUCAUUCACUGAGUGUUUGAUGAAAUUUUCAUGUUGACUGGUCGUAUCUAGGUUAGUGUUAUUUGGAAUACUGAUCCUUCACUGCUGAUAGAAGAAAGUUCACCAACAUCUUCUAAACAGAAUCUGAAAUUUCACUAAAUAUAAAUAAAACAGUUUUAUCCACAAACAUACAAAAGUUUACAAAGUUGGUUUCUUGUAAUUCAAAAGGCUUCACGGUUUAUGUCUUGGAUAUUAGUCGAAUUGCUUUCCCUUGGCGGCAUCUCCCCUAAGGGGAUCCUCUCUGUGUGCUCUCUCUCAAAGGUCGUUGUCGAUUUGUUUCCGGAAGUCAAUGCGGAAACUGGUCUCUUAGUUUUUUCUAACUAUUCUACACUUCCGAUUAUACAUGUAAUAAACUAUAAUAAUAAUAAUGUCUAUAAUCACUAUACUAACGAUACUAACUGUAAUUGAAGGAAUGUGGUCCCUAACAGACUAAAUAAUUUAUUAG